CGAGAGCACAAGGAGACCACCGCCACCUCGCGGAGGGCGGAGAUGGGGAAGAAAGAGGACGAGGAGAGGAGGACAGCAGUCGUUGGGCGUCGUCACCGAGGCCACCUACGUCCGUAUCGGCAAGGUGGUCGAAUAGCUUGUGAUUUGUAGGAAUAAACUUCUUACAGUGCUGGUGUCCUUUUCAAAACAAAAAAAGAAGAAAAAACUUUGAUCAUCACUUGCUAGGAGAUGAACAGUAAGAUGAGUGAAGGUGGCAAGUUUCGGGAGGGAACAGCAGGAGAAUUACCGAGAUGAGUUUUGAAGAAUACAAAGGUGCCAGGUUGUUGAUUUCUGGAUUUAGGGAGCAUGAGCACCUGAAGAGACCAAGCAUGAACUGUCUCGUAUCAUGUGUAUGUUCUCUUUCUAACAUGUAGGUGCCAAAAUUCCCAGGUGGUGUGAUUCAUCAUUGCAGCCCCACGUCUUGUUCAAAGAAACAAAGAACAAACAACUGCCAGAAAAGGCUACGAUAAACUUGGCUGCCGUAAAAGAAGGGAAAUGGGCAACUCAAGCAUUCAUUAUUCACUGGGAAUCAUUCUUGGAGUGCCGGCCGUGACCAGCCGUUGAUGAGAAGGGGGAGCUGUAGUUUUCGCUGCGGUCAAUGGAGACGGGGACGGGGAUGGAGAUGGCCACCGUGCGGUCCCCGUCGCCUGAUAAGACCGGCCAAGUCCUCUACACCUCUCCACCCAAUCUGUGGCGCACUGCCAACUCGUUGAACGAGAAGGAUUGCUCGGGCAUUAGCGACACGUUCUCCCUCUCUUGGUGCAAGAAGAAGAACUACAAGGUGAUAGGAGGGUCCAUGAGAUCUUGAGCGGGUCCCGCGCAUCGCUUGGCAGAUGACCGGGUCACGUCACAUUAUGUUGACUUCGUCACCCACCACAAGCCUUCUUUUGGAGGUGUUACCCGAAAGAAAAGUCCAAAGUCCAGUUUCUGCCACCAAUCUGAGCUCGAGGAGACCGUUCAAUGGAGCAAACAACGACUGCAAAGUCUUCCUUUGAAGGUGUCACCCAAAAGGAAAGCCUAAGUCCAGUUUCUGUCACCAAGCUGAGCUCAAGGAUACCAUCCAAUGGAGCAAACUAGAAGAACUGCAAGUCUUCCUUUGGAGGUGUCACCCAAAAGAAAAACUCAAGUCGAGUUUCUGCCGCGAAGCUGAUCUCGAGGAGGCCAUUCAAUGGAGCACGCAAGAAGGGCACGGAUGAGAGGACCCACCGGUAAUCGUCACCGCUCGGCAUCGACAGACACGGUCACCGCAACAUCAGCAACCAGUGUGACUUCGUCGGAAGAUUCGCGGACCGGAAGCGAGGUCCGCCGUCGCCUGCACUCACCGGUGGCGGUGGCCACACGGUUCCCACGCCCUCGCCACGACCGCACCGCCCCCGUGAGCUCACCACCAGAGAAUUAAAAGACUAGGAAAAGACCGAAGCGGGUGAUCACACCGAGCCGGUGAGGGGAAGUCGACAGAGGCGAAGAAGAGUUCGGUCAACGUGGAAUAUUGACCGCUCAUUAACACGGCGGCGAAAGCGACCGGAAAAUGACCUGCCGCCCCACCUUUCGUUUUGGUCUCCGUUUCACACAUAAGCGUUCUCGUCAUCCACCAAAGGCCGAAUCCAAACUCAUCGGCAUCUAAGAAUGGUGCCUAAUCUCAAGACCUUUGAAUCUAAGUAUUUUUACGAUUCAAAUGGAAAUAAACUCA